rnacentral:rRNA from 1 species
AGUGAACGCUGGCGGUAGGCCUAACACAUGCCAGUCGAACGGCAGCACAGUAAGAGCUUGCUCUUACGGGUGGCGAGUGGCGGACGGGUGAGGAAUACAUCGGAAUCUACUUUUUCGUGGGGGAUAACGUAGGGAAACUUACGCUAAUACCGCAUACGACCUACGGGUGAAAGCAGGGGAUCUUCGGACCUUGCGCGAUUGAAUGAGCCGAUGUCGGAUUAGCUAGUUGGCGGGGUAAAGGCCCACCAAGGCGACGAUCCGUAGCUGGUCUGAGAGGAUGAUCAGCCACACUGGAACUGAGACACGGUACAGACUCCUACGGGAGGCAGCAGUGGGGAAUAUUGGACAAUGGGCGCAAGCCUGAUCCAGCCAUACCGCGUGGGUGAAGAAGGCCUUCGGGUUGUAAAGCCCUUUUGUUGGGAAAGAAAAGCAGCAGGUUAAUACCCCGCUGUUCUGACGGUACCCAAAGAAUAAGCACCGGCUAACUUCGUG